rnacentral:rRNA from 1 species
CGCGUAGGCGGCCCGGAAAGUGGGGUGUGAAAACCCGAGGCUCAACCUCGGGCGUGCAUUCCAAACUCCCGGGCUCGAGGCAGGUAGGGGAGAUCGGAAUUCCUGGUGUAGCGGUGAAAUGCGCAGAUAUCAGGAGGAACACCGGUGGCGAAGGCGGAUCUCUGGGCCUGAUCUGACGCUGAGGCGCGAAAGCUAGGGGAGCGAACA